rnacentral:rRNA from 1 species
AGCGAACAGACGAGGAGCUUGCUCCUCUGACGUUAGCGGCGGACGGGUGAGUAACACGUGGAUAACCUACCUAUAAGACUGGGAUAACUUCGGGAAACCGGAGCUAAUACCGGAUAAUAUAUUGAACCGCAUGGUUCAAUAGUGAAAGACGGUUUUGCUGUCACUUAUAGAUGGAUCCGCGCCGCAUUAGCUAGUUGGUAAGGUAACGGCUUACCAAGGCAACGAUGCGUAGCCGACCUGAGAGGGUGAUCGGCCACACUGGAACUGAGACACGGUCCAGACUCCUACGGGAGGCAGCAGUAGGGAAUCUUCCGCAAUGGGCGAAAGCUUGACGGAGCAACGCCGCGUGAGUGAUGAAGGUCUUCGGAUCGUAAAACUCUGUUAUUAGGGAAGAACAAAUGUGUAAGUAACUAUGCACGUCUUGACGGUACCUAAUCAGAAAGCCACGGCUAACUACGUGCCAGCAGCCGCGGUAAUACGUAGGUGGCAAGCGUUAUCCGGAAUUAUUGGGCGUAAAGCGCGCGUAGGCGGUUUUUUAAGUCUGAUGUGAAAGCCCACGGCUCAACCGUGGAGGGUCAUUGGAAACUGGAAAACUUGAGUGCAGAAGAGGAAAGUGGAAUUCCAUGUGUAGCGGUGAAAUGCGCAGAGAUAUGGAGGAACACCAGUGGCGAAGGCGACUUUCUGGUCUGUAACUGACGCUGAUGUGCGAAAGCGUGGGGAUCAAACAGGA